CAAAACUAAAAUGGCUCAAUAGCCCAAUUUUAACAAAAAUACACAAAAACUCCAUAGCCAGAUCCAAAAGAGACAUCUCUUUAUCAAUUAACCAUAAUCAAGUUUCAUCACCCCAAAAUACAGAUAAUAAGCGAGUUGUAAGUUCCAUCGGAAGGAUUUCUAAAUAAUUUACAAAAUGGAGGAAUCGUUAAAGAAAACAUGCACAACGUUUUUUAUUCCCGAAACAAGAAGAAAAAUAGCUAGAAAAUAGCGAAAACAAACAAAAA